CUUGUACACACCGCCCGUCACACCAUGGGAGCGGGUUUUACCAGAAGCAGGUAGCUUAACCGCAAGGGGGGCGCUUGCCACGGUGUGGCCGAUGACUGGGGUG
rnacentral:rRNA from 1 species